GAUAGUAUAUAUAGAGGCAAGAUUAAAACCUUCUUCUCUCUUGGCAAUGCCUUUCCAAUUCAUAAUCUUAUUUCAAGACUUUUUAAUCUUCUUGUCUUUGAUUAUAGCCAUUCUAGUUUAAUAUUAUACCAUCUUUGAGUGAUUUUUUAGUUUUUAUGAGUGACACAAGAAUAUGUUGAACUUUUAGUUCUUUGAUAUUCAUGUCCUUGAUAAUUUGACAU
rnacentral:lncRNA from 1 species